AUUGAACGCUGGCGGCAUGCCUUACACAUGCAAGUCGAACGGAUUGAAGGGGCUUGCUCCUUCAGUUAGUGGCGAACGGGUGAGUAAAGCAUCGGAACGUACCCAGUCGUGGGGGAUAACGUAGCGAAAGUUACGCUAAUACCGCAUACGAUCUGAGGAUGAAAGCGGGGGAUCGCAAGACCUCGCGCGAUUGGAGCGGCCGAUGUCGGAUUAGCUAGUUGGUGAGGUAAAGGCUCACAAAGGCGACGACCCGUAGCUGGUCUGAGAGGAUGGUCAGCCACACUGGAACUGAGACACGGUCCAGACUCCUACGGGAGGCAGCAGUGGGGAAUUUUGGACAAUGGGGGAAACCCUGAUCCAGCCAUGCCGCGUGAGUGAAGAAGGCCUUCGGGUUGUAAAGCUCUUUCAGUCGGAAAGAAAAGGCUCCGGAUAAUACCUGGAGUUGAUGACGGUACCGACAGAAGAAGCACCGGCUAACUACGUGCCAGCCGCCGCGGUAA
rnacentral:rRNA from 1 species